AAUAGAAGAAUUACAAAUUAAAUUUUUGUUCUUGGCUUUCAGCUUUUUCCUUCUAAAAAAAAUUUAAAUCCAACUAAAAAUGCUAAAAAUCAGGAGAAAAUUUGAUUUGUCAUUUUUGUAUU
rnacentral:pre_miRNA from 1 species